rnacentral:rRNA from 1 species
AGUGGCGGACGGCUGAGUAAUGUCUGGGAAACUGCCUGAUGGAGGGGGAUAACUACUGGAAACGGUAGCUAAUACCGCAUAACGUCGCAAGACCAAAGAGGGGGACCUUCGGGCCUCUUGCCAUCGGAUGUGCCCAGAUGGGAUUAGCUAGUAGGUGGGGUAACGGCUCACCUAGGCGACGAUCCCUAGCUGGUCUGAGAGGAUGACCAGCCACACUGGAACUGAGACACGGUCCAGACUCCUACGGGAGGCAGCAGUGGGGAAUAUUGCACAAUGGGCGCAAGCCUGAUGCAGCCAUGCCGCGUGUAUGAAGAAGGCCUUCGGGUUGUAAAGUACUUUCAGCGGGGAGGAAGGCGAUAAGGUUAAUAACCUUGUCGAUUGACGUUACCCGCAGAAGAAGCACCGGCUAACUCCGUGCCAGCAGCCGCGGUAAUACGGAGGGUGCAAGCGUUAAUCGGAAUUACUGGGCGUAAAGCGCACGCAGGCGGUCUGUCAAGUCGGAUGUGAAAUCCCCGGGCUCAACCUGGGAACUGCAUUCGAAACU